GAAUACCAAAGGCCAAAGAAUCGAAAUCACACCUGGUUGGUGCUAUUCGAUUUGCAUCCGGGUAAUACCAAGGGAAUAUGAGUUGGUUAUCCAUGGGCUGCCGAAAGUUGCCGCCGGCUGUUCCCGUAGAUUUGUGGUUAAUCUUCAUCUGCUUUCAAAAUAUCAGUAAUGAAGUGACGGCGGCUGGGGUGGGGUUGCUUCCACCACCGAGAAGCAGGACAAAGACCAGCUCAUUCCAUAACAGCAAGCAAAAUCAUUCCCGAUUAAAACACGACGAGGAAAAUGGAAAGGCCGUUUACAAGAAGGCAGAUAAAUCAGAUGUCAAACAAAAUUUAAAAAAAUGAAAUAAACACAGUCAGGUAUGGGACCGAUAUUGCGGAAAAAUCUGCGGGACGAGCUGGACCAAAAGAUGAUGGGUUGGACAGGAAAAAUUCUCGGAAACAAAUUCGCACAUAGGAAAAUUUCGUACUACGACCUUUGUUUGAUAUCCAAACGUGGAAGCGUGGGAGCGUAUCGUACGGGUAUGGAGCGCAGAUGAAGAAAAAAAAACGACAAUAAAUGAGCCAGGACUUAACCUUGAUAUCCACUGUCUGCCU